rnacentral:rRNA from 1 species
UACAGAGGGUGCGAGCGUUGUUCGGAAUUAUUGGGCGUAAAGGGCGCGUAGGCGGCGCGGUAUGUCACCUGUGAAAUCUCCUGGCUCAACUGGGAGCUUGCAGGCGAAACUGCCGUGCUGGAGUGUGGGAGAGGUGCGUGGAAGUUCCCGGAUGUAGCGGUGAAAUGACGUAGAUAGUCGGGAGGAACACCUGUGGCGGAAAGCGGC